rnacentral:rRNA from 1 species
CCUACGGGUGGCUGCAGUGGGGAAUAUUGGACAAUGGGGGCAACCCUGAUCCAGCCAUGCCGCGUGUGUGAAGAAGGCCCUCGGGUUGUAAAGCACUUUCAGUGAGGAAGAACGCCUGGUGGUUAAUACCCAUCAGGAAAGACAUCACUCACAGAAGAAGCACCGGCUAACUCCGUGCCAGCAGCCGCGGUAAUACGGAGGGUGCGAGCGUUAAUCGGAAUUACUGGGCGUAAAGCGCGCGUAGGUGGCUUGAUAAGCCGGUUGUGAAAGCCCCGGGCUCAACCUGGGAACGGCAUCCGGAACUGUCAAGCUAGAGUGCAGGAGAGGAAGGUAGAAUUCCCGGUGUAGCGGUGAAAUGCGUAGAGAUCGGGAGGAAUACCAGUGGCGAAGGCGGCCUUCUGGACUGACACUGGCACUGAGGUGCGAAAGCGUGGGUAGCAAACAGGAUUAGAUACCCCAGUAGUC